rnacentral:rRNA from 1 species
CUGGCUCAGGAUGAACGCUAGCGACAGGCCUAACACAUGCAAGUCAGGGGCAGCACAAGGAGCAAUCUGAGGUGGCGACCGGCGCACGGGUGAGUAACACGUAUGCAACCUGCCUGUAAGCGGGGAAUAACCCGUUGAAAGACGGACUAAUACCGCAUAAUACUAAAUUACUGCAUGGUAAUUUAUUUAAACAUUUAUGGCUUACAGAUGGGCAUGCGCAUGAUUAGCUAGUUGGAGAGGUAACGGCUCCCCAAGGCAACGAUCAUUAGGGGUUCUGAGAGGAAGGUCCCCCACACUGGUACUGAGACACGGACCAGACUCCUACGGGAGGCGGCAGUGAGGAAUAUUGGUCAAUGGACGAGAGUCUGAACCAGCCAAGUCGCGUGCAGGAAGAAUGUCCUAUGGAUUGUAAACUGCUUUUGCAGGGGAAUAAAGUGCAUCACGUGUGAUGUUUUGUAUGUACUCUGCGAAUAAGGAUCGGCUAACUCCGUGCCAGCCGCCGC